rnacentral:rRNA from 1 species
ACGCUCGACACCUACGGGAGGGCAGCAGUGGGGAAUAUUGCACAAUGGGGGAAACCCUGAUGCAGCGACGCCGCGUGAAGGAAGAAGUAUUUCGGUAUGUAAACUUCUAUCAGCAGGGAAGAAGAUGACGGUACCUGACUAAGAAGCCCCGGCUAACUACGUGCCGAUCACGCCGGACGGUAAUCUGAGGCGGGCGUGGACGAAGGC